CUGGCGGCGUGCCUAAUCAUGCAAGUCGAGCGACAGAAAAGGAGCUUGCUCCUUUGACGUUAGCGGCGGACGGGUGAGUAACACGUGGGCAACCUACCCUAUAGUUUGGGAUAACUCCGGGAAACCGGGGCUAAUACCGAAUAAUCUCUUUUGCUUCAUGGUGAAAGACUGAAAGACGGUUUCGGCUGUCGCUAUAGGAUGGGCCCGCGGCGCAUUAGCUAGUUGGUGAGGUAACGGCUCACCAAGGCGACGAUGCGUAGCCGACCUGAGAGGGUGAUCGGCCACACUGGGACUGAGACACGGCCCAGACUCCUACGGGAGGCAGCAGUAGGGAAUCUUCCACAAUGGGCGAAAGCCUGAUGGAGCAACGCCGCGUGAGUGAAGAAGGUUUUCGGAUCGUAAAACUCUGUUGUAAGGGAAGAACAAGUACAGUAGUAACUGGCUGUACCUUGACGGUACCUUAUUAGAAAGCCACGGCUAACUACGUGCCAGCAGCCGCGGUAAUACGUAGGUGGCAAGCGUUGUCCGGAAUUAUUGGGCGC
rnacentral:rRNA from 1 species